CAGUCGCCACGGGAAUACGAAGGGGGCUAGCGUUGCUCGGAAUGACUGGGCGUAAAGGGCGCGUAGGCGGUUUGGCAAGUCUUGUGUGAAAUCUUCGGGCUCAACCCGAAGCCUGCACGAGAAACUACCGGGCUUGAGUAUUGGAGAGGUGAGUGGAAUCUCCGGUGUAGCGGUGAAAUGCGUAGAUAUCGGAAGGAACACCUGUGGCGAAAGCGGCUCACUGGACAAUUACUGACGCUGAUGCACGAAAGCUAGGGGAGCAAACAGGAUUAGAUACCCCUGUAGUCCCUGUCUCUUAUAA
rnacentral:rRNA from 1 species